UCAGCCGCUCCCCAACCUCAUAUAGAGGGCACGUCCCUCUACGUCAUCGCCCGCUGCGCCUCCGGAAGCGACGCAGGCAGUGACGUGGCACGAAGAGCCGCGCGGGGGCGGGGCCACAGCAGGGGCGAGUCGGGGAGAACUAGGAUUUGCACGAAGAUCCCAAUUGUGAACAAGUUCGAUCCAGUCCUGCUCUCAUAGAAGUGUUCAUUCCGGUAAAUCAAAGUAUCAGACAAUUAUAAUACAUUAACAAUUGUUCAUGAAUCCAAUAAUAUAGCAUUCAGCAGAGUAAGAAUGCAACCCUUGGGAAAGAGCAGGACACAGGAUGGCAGUUGGAAUGAUGGAAAAGUCAAAAUGCAAGAGCCAAGAAAUGAACCCCUUUAAGAAGAUGGGGGGACUGGGCGCGGUGGCUCACACCUGUAAUCCCGACACGCGCCUGUAAUCCCGGCUACUCGGGAGGCUGAGGCAGGAGAAUCGCUUAAACCCGGGAAGCGGAGUUUGCAGUGAGCCGAGAUCGCGCCAUUGCACUCCAGCCUGGGCAACAAGAGUGAAACCCCGUCCCCCCCCACCCCCAAAAAAAGAAGAUAGAGAUCUUGGAUGGAAAACUCCAGAGGACAUUGGGCAACUGGGAGGAAGCUAAAAAUGGGGUGAAAGGGAAUAAAAAAAGAUGGGGGUCUUGGAUGGAAAACUCCAGAGGACAUUGGGCAACUGGGAGGAAGCUAAAAAUGGGGUGAAAGGGAAUAAAAAAGAAGAUGGAGGUCUUGGAUGGAAAACUCCAGAGGACAUUGGGCAACUGGGAGGAAGCUAAAAAUGGGGUGAAAGGGAUCCCAAAAUAAAUGGAUAGGACACAUGGUCA